GUACACUCCUACGGGAGGCAGCAGUGGGGAAUUUUGGACAAUGGGCGAAAGCCUGAUCCAGCAAUGCCGCGUGAGUGAAGAAGGCCUUCGGGUUGUAAAGCUCUUUUGUCAGGGAAGAAACGGUGAAAGCUAAUAUCUUUUGCUAAUGACGGUACCUGAAGAAUAAGCACCGGCUAACUACGUGCCCGCAGCCGCGGUAAUACGUAGGGUGCAAGCGUUAAUCGGAAUUACUGGGCGUAAAGCGUGCGCAGGCGGUUUUGUAAGUCUGAUGUGAAAUCCCCGGGCUCAACCUGGGAAUUGCAUUGGAGACUGCAAGGCUAGAAUCUGGCAGAGGGGGGUAGAAUUCCACGUGUAGCAGUGAAAUGCGUAGAUAUGUGGAGGAACACCGAUGGCGAAGGCAGCCCCCUGGGUCAAGAUUGACGCUCAUGCACGAAAGCGUGGGGAGCAAACAGGAUUAGAUACCCGAGUAGUCCCA
rnacentral:rRNA from 1 species